GACGAACGCUGGCGGCGUGCUUAACACAUGCAAGUCGAACGCUGAAGCUCAGCUUUUGUUGGGUGGAUGAGUGGCGAACGGGUGAGUAACACGUGAGUAACCUGCCUCCUUCUUUGGGAUAACGCCCGGAAACGGGUGCUAAUACUGGAUAUUCACUGGUCUUCGCAUGGGGGUUGGUGGAAAGGGUUUUUCUGGUGGGGGAUGGGCUCGCGGCCUAUCAGCUUGUUGGUGGGGUGAUGGCCUACCAAGGCUUUGACGGGUAGCCGGCCUGAGAGGGUGACCGGUCACAUUGGGACUGAGAUACGGCCCAGACUCCUACGGGAGGCAGCAGUGGGGAAUAAUGCACAAUGGGCGCAAGCCUGAUGCAGCGACGCCGCGUGAGGGGUGGAGGCCUUCGGGUUGUGAACCUCUUUCGCUCAUGGUCAAGCCGCAACAAUGGUUGUGGUGAGGGUAGUGGGUAAAGAAGCGCCGGCUAACUACGUG
rnacentral:rRNA from 1 species